GUAUCAUCUACGAGUCGCACGCGCCUGAAGCAUCAAGGAAACAUUAAACUAGUUAAACUCUUAUUUUUGUGACAUUUGUUUUGUUCUAUGUACGCGUAAGAGUGAUUAAUUUCGAAAGCUAAAUCAAAAUAAAAACAUCUAUUGUAGAGCAAAACGAUUGAAUCAAACGAAUACAUUUCGUUCAUUAGUUUGUUAGUAACCAUCACCGAGACCAAAGAGAUCCAGAAAUCAGAUAUAAGUACCCAAUAGAUGGAUAAUAAAGCCGUAAGAUUAGUAGGAUACUUAAUAUUUACAUUCUAGGACUUUCUGUUUCCUUCUCUGGGAAGUUAUGUCUUUUGGAUACAUGCCAUAUACUAAUCGUGCCAAUUGUGAGGUAAUGUCAAUGCUAACAUCUAAUGGUUGUUGGUGGAGGAAAAUACCGAUUUAAAAAAGCCUGCCGUUGCCCAGAUUCAAUUUACAGAAUAAUGACUCAUUUUUGGCACCAAUCCCCGGAAAAUCAGUCUAGUUUUACGACCAUCGCCAAUAUCAAAGAAUCGAUCAUUGCUUGCAGGAUCUCGACGUAAUAAACUACACAACUCUGAAUUACGACAUUUUACCAAUUUGAGAUCGUGACAUGACAAUUAUGAGAUCGGAAACUAAAUGUAUCAGUAUGCAUUUAAAUAGGAGUUAACUAAAUAAUAUAGAAUAUGUUUAAACAAAAAAUAUAUACUAAAUAAAUAAAAAAUUCAAAAUUUUAUCGAUUUUUGUAUAGAAUGCUUUUGUAUGAUGAUGAUUACAACCAAGAAACAGAAUUUUGUCUAGCGACUUAUUGCGUAGAACAAGUUAGCAAUAACAUGGCUUAUAUGCAUCAGAAGAAAUACAAAAAUAGAUUUAUGAACGAUAAUACAUCUCUAAUGAGAGUACUCGAUAUACUGGAUCAGGACAGAGUAAUUAAUAUAAGGAUAAUCUAAAAGAUGUAAAAAAAUGAAGAUAAUCUCGAAAAUACUCGUACAAAAAAAUUUGUACAAUAUUCACAUUAAAGUUCUAAAAACAUGUUUCCAUCAAGAAGCUUGACUGUUUUUUCUAUGCAAGUAUUUGCCGCGCUGAUGAUUCCUACAUGUCUUUCAACCUGAACAGUACCAAACAUCAAGAACAAAAAGAAGUACAAAACAAAACAGCUGAAGGUAAAAUCCAACAAUAGAACGAUAGACGUCUCUAUGAUCUCGACUGCAGUGAAGUCGACACAAAUGCGUCAUGCGUUGCGUCUGGGUUGUCAGUAUAUUAUGGGAGCAGACAAUAGAUUCUCCCAGACCGAUUAUCUUUACCAUCAUAAUCAUAAUCCAUCGAGAUGCUAACAUAAUCCGUAGAAUACUAAUCGAAUGCAGCAAUCUUCUUACAGAACAAAUACUGUACUAUAAAUAUAUAGUAUUGAAUUUAGAAAUUAUAAAUUAUAUUACAAACGCAUAAUAGUAACUGACAAGAUUAUAUAUUGCAAUAAACCGGAUAUUACAUUUGUGUAUAGGAAAAUGAAAGCCACAUGUCUAAUCGAUACAGCUGUCCCUAUAACCUUCAAAACACAUGCAAUGAGAAAAUAUACAAAUACACGGAAAUAAACAUUGAAAUAAAAUGUAAAAAUAGAAAUCCAUAUUCUUUCAAUAGUAAUUUCAAUUACAGAAAUAAUAUCUUCAAAUCCUGUCAGAAUAACGUUAAAACUUUGGGAUUCGAUCCGAAUUUAUUUAAAAUUAUACAGAAAACCGUCAUUCUAUAUACUACACGAAUCACUCGCAAAUUUUUUAAUUAAGCUAUUUUAAUAGUGUUCUACAUUUCCUUGCAACAUCAGUUUAAAGCACUGAAAAAUAAUAAGAAGAAGAAUACGAAUAAUAGUAACAGUAAUAAUAAUAUAUAUAACAACUACAACAAGGUAGAAAAAUUAAUUAAUAAGAAAUUGGAAUAACAACAAAGAUGAUCUGUUCGUACGCGUAAGAACUUUUUUGAGAUAGAGUUGAGCAUUAUUAAAUUUUAUAUUUAAUUAAUUAAAUACUUUAAUUAAAAUUUUUA